rfam:Homo sapiens chromosome 10, GRCh38 reference primary assembly.
GCCAGGUGUGGUAGUGCAUGCCUGUAGUCCCAGCUACUGGGGAGGCUGAGACAAGAGGAUUGCUUGAGCCCAGGAGUUGGAGGCUGCAGUGAGCUGUGAUUGCACCAUUGCACCCCAGCCUGGGCAACAAAGUGAGACCCUGUCUCUU